GUGGGGAAUUUUGGACAAUGGGCGCAAGCCUGAUCCAGCAAUGCCGCGUGCAGGAAGAAGGCCUUCGGGUUGUAAACUGCUUUUGUACGGAACGAAACGGUCCUGGCUAAUAUCCGGGGCUAAUGACGGUACCGUAAGAAUAAGCACCGGCUAACUACGUGCCAGCAGCCGCGGUAAUACGUAGGGUGCGAGCGUUAAUCGGAAUUACUGGGCGUAAAGCGUGCGCAGGCGGUGCUGUAAGACAGGCGUGAAAUCCCCGGGCUCAACCUGGGAAUUGCGCUUGUGACUGCAGUGCUGGAGUGCGGCAGAGGGGGAUGGAAUUCCGCGUGUAGCAGUGAAAUGCGUAGAUAUGCGGAGGAACACCGAUGGCGAAGGCAAUCCCCUGGGCCUGCACUGACGCUCAUGCACGAAAGCGUGGGGAGCAAACAGGAUUAGAAACCCUGGUAGUCC
rnacentral:rRNA from 1 species